GCCUAACGGCUGAACUGGCAACUUGGAGAAGUGGCAAGUCUUCCAGUAUGGGGAGCAAAACAGCUAUGGGUCAAGUCCGAUAUCUUUAGGAGAAGUCUUAUUGUGAGGGCGAGUUUUAUAACACCAUAGGACUGGCCGUCCCAUAUGAAAAGAUUAUAUUAGAAUUGAAUGAAGCUUUGUUUAUAUAUUGAUAAUGACAGUAUAUAUAUCGUGUCUUGACUAAUUGCGUGCCAGCAGUCGCGGUAAUACGUAAGAGACUAGUGUUAUUCAUCUUAAUUAGGUUUAAAGGGUACCCAGACGGUCAAUAUAGCUUAUAAAAUGUUAGUACUUGACUAGAGUUUUAUGUAAGAGGGCAGUACUUGAGGAGGAGAGAUGAAAUUUCGUGAUACCAAAGGGACUCUGUAAAGGCGAAGGCAGCCCUCUAUGUAAAAACUGACGUUGAAGGACGAAGGCACAGAGAACAAACAGGAUUAGAUACCCAAGUAGUCUUUGCAGUAAAUGAUGAAUGCCAUAGGUUAGAUGGGUGGGUAGUCUAGUUGAGUUAGUUUAGCAAACUAAUGAUCUAGAGGAGCCCACCAUAUAUUUGGUCUAUAAAUGAAAGUGUAAGCAUUUCACCUCAAGAGUAAUGUGGCAACGCAGGAACUGAAAUCACUAGACCGUUUCUGACACCAGUAGUGAAG
rnacentral:rRNA from 1 species